UGAACGCAUGAGGCAGCAUUAGAGAAGGUAGCCUGGACUCAAGGGUACUGGGUCUGUUAAGAAAUAAAGCCAAUGUGGUAGGCCAAGUUCAGGUCGAGAAGAUAGUUACUUGCUGCCACAUGUGUCUCAUUUCCAAAGGUCACAAAUACUUCAGCAAGGAAUUGCAGAGUAGAACCUUUGGCUAAAUGAGCUAAGUAGUAGCUGGUUAAAAAUUUCUGCUACAUCUCAGAGCAUUAACAUUUUAACAGUGGCCUGCUGAAGACAAGAAAUUCUUCAUUACACUUAAUGAUCAAUCUUUUCUAUGGGAACGCAGUGCCUGAAGACAGGUGGGCUGAGUUGAAGUUGGAGGAAGGAGAGGAACCACUUUGUGGGGUCCUUUAGAUCAUGCCAGGCGGACCGCUGUCUGCUUGGCCUACACACAUGCCGCACUCUUUCUCAGUAGCUAUGUUCCUCCACUGCAUCUACACCUCAGGGCAUCUGCCCAAUGAUGAGGGCCAUUCUUCUGGAUUCUAGUAACCUGCACAAGACCAGCCCAGCUUCUCCACCUGCUGGAUGACACUCCACCCCAUCUUUGUCCUGACAAAUGGGAAGAAAGAGAAGCCUCGAAAGCUUAAAGAAAGGACGCAUUUCGUGAUCUAGCAACAAAGAGUUGAGAAAAUGCUCACCCCUCUGUCUGCAAGCAGCUGAGCGUAUGUCUCCCUGUUGCUGGAGCUUUCCCAUUAUUCAGUUGGAAACCACUUCAUCACUCCACGGGCUGACAGUAAAAUGCCAGCUUUAUUUUCUUUCUUAUCAACCUCAUCUUUUAUUUUUGAUUCGAGGUCAGUCACUUUUAAGGUCUCCAUAAUGGUGUAUAACUUUCUCAAGAAGCGACCAAGAAGGAACACCAUUUGAAAAAUGUUUCUUACCCUUUCGUGGCAAAGAAUGGGAAACUCUCACCUGCCCGAAAGAUGGAUUUGGUCAGAAGUUCUGGUCAGACCACAGUACUUUGCUGGGAAUGAUGUCAAGGAAAGUGUGGGAAAAGCUUAUCGUGAGUUUAGGUUUGUAAUAUAAUGAUUCAAUGUAGAAUUUAAAAA